rnacentral:rRNA from 1 species
AUUCCGGUUGAUCCUGCCGGAGGUCAUUGCUAUUGGAGUCCGAUUUAGCCAUGCUAGUUGCACGAGUUUAGACUCGUAGCAGAUAGCUCAGUAACACGUGGCCAAACUACCCUAUGGAUCCGAAUAACCUCGGGAAACUGAGGCUAAUAUGGAAUAGCGUUCAUCGCCUGGAGUGGCACGAACGCGAAACGUUACGGCGCCAUAGGAUGUGGCUGCGGCCGAUUAGGUAGACGGUGGGGUAACGGCCCACCGUGCCCAUAAUCGGUACGGGUUGUGAGAGCAAGAGCCCGGAGACGGUAUCUGAGACAAGAUACCGGGCCCUACGGGGCGCAGCAGGCGCGAAACCUUUACACUGCACGCGAGUGCGAUAAGGGGACUCCGAGUGCGAGGGCAUAUAGUCCUCGCUUUUCACGACCGUAAGGUGGUCGUAGAAUAAGUGACUGGGCAAGACCGGUGCCAGCCGCCGCGGUAAUACCGGCAGCACGAGUGAUGACCGCUAUUAUUGGGCCUAAAGCGUCCGUAGCUGGCCACGCAAGUCUAUCGGGAAAUCCGCGCGCUUAACGCGCGCGCGUCCGGUGGAAACUGCGUGGCUUGGGACCGGAAGACCAGAGGGGUACGUCCGGGGUAGGAGUGAAAUUCCGUAAUUCUGGACGGACCACCGGUGGCGAAAGCGCCUCUUGAAGACGGAUCCGACGGUGAGGGACGAAAGUUCGGGUCACGAACCGGAUUAGAUACCCGGGUAGUCCGAGCUGUAAACGAUGUCUGCUAGGUGUGGCACAGGCUACAAGCCUGUGCUGUGCCGUAGGGAAGCCGUGAAGCAGACCCCCUGGAAAGUACGUCCGCAAGGAUAAAACUUAAAGAAAUUGGCGGGGGAGCACUACAACCGGAGGAGCCUGCGGUUUAAUUGGACUCAACGCCGGACAUCUCACCAGCAUCGACAAUGUGCAGUGAACGUCAGGUUGAUGACCUUACUGGAGCCAUUGAGAGGAGGUGCAUGGCCGCCGUCAGCUCGUACCGUGAGGCGUCCUGUUAAGUCAGGCAACGAGCGAGACCCGCACUCCUAAUUGCCAGCAACACCCUUGCGGUGGUUGGGUACAUUAGGAGGACUGCCAGUGCCAAACUGGAGGAAGGAACGGGCAACGGUAGGUCAGUAUGCCCCGAAUGUGCUGGGCGACACGCGGGCUACAAUG